rnacentral:rRNA from 1 species
UACGUAGGGUGCAAGCGUUAAUCGGAAUUACUGGGCGUAAAGCGUGCGCAGGCGGUCUUGCAAGACAGAUGUGAAAUCCCCGGGCUUAACCUGGGAACUGCCAUUUGUGACUGCAAGGCUGGAGUGACGGCAGAGGGGAUGGGAAUUCCGCGUGUAGCAGUGAAAUGACGUAGAUAUGCGGAGGAACACCGAUGGCGAAGGCAAUCCCCUGGACCUGUACUGACGCUCAUGCACGAAAGCGUGGGGAGCAAACAGG